GACGAACGCUGGCGGCGUGCUUAACACAUGCAAGUCGAACGAUGAACCCGGAGCUUGCUCCGGCGGAUUAGUGGCGAACGGGUGAGUAACACGUGAGUAACCUGCCCUUGACUCUGGGAUAACUGCGGGAAACUGUAGCUAAUACCGGAUACGACCCUCGGCGGCAUCGCCAGGGGGUGGAAAGAAUUUCGGUCAAGGAUGGACUCGCGGCCUAUCAGCUAGUUGGUGAGGUAACGGCUCACCAAGGCGACGACGGGUAGCCGGCCUGAGAGGGGGACCGGCCACACUGGGACUGAGAAACGGCCCAGACUCCUACGGGAGGCAGCAGUGUGGAAUAUUGCACAAUGGGCGCAAGCCUGAUGCAGCAACGCCGCGUGAGGGAUGACGGCCUUCGGGUUGUAACCUCUUUUAGUAGGGAAGAAGCGAAAGUGACGGUACCUGCAGAAAAAGCACCGGCUAACUACGUGCCAGCCGCCGCAGUAA
rnacentral:rRNA from 1 species